rnacentral:rRNA from 1 species
UACGGGGGGUGCAAGCGUUAUCCGGAUUCACUGGGUUUAAAGGGUGCGUAGGUGGGCAGGUAAGUCAGUGGUGAAAUCUCUGGGCUUAACCCGGAACUGCCGUUGAUACUAUCUGUCUUGAAUAUAGUGGAGGUGAGCGGAAUAUGUCAUGUAGCGGUGAAAUGCUUAGAUAUGACAUAGAACAUCGAUUGCGAAGGCAGCUCGCUACACUAUGAUUGACACUGAGGCACGAAAGCGUGGGGAUCAAACAGG